AUUGCACGUUGGCGGCAGGCCUAACACAUGCAAGUCGAACGAGUGGCGGACGGGUGAGUAAUGUCUGGGAAACUGCCUGAUGGAGGGGGAUAACUACUGGAAACGGUAGCUAAUACCGCAUACCAUCGGAUGUGCCCAGAUUGGAUUAGCUAGUAGGUGGGGUAAAGGCUCACCUAGGCGACGAGCCCUAGCUGGUCUAGGAGGAUGACCAGCCACCGUAGAGCGGAGACACGGUCCAGUCUCCUACGGUAGGCAGCCGUGGGGAAUCUUGCUCAAUCGGCGCAAGCCUGCUGCAGCCAUGCCGCGGGUAUGAAGAAGGCCUUCGGGUUUUAAAGUACUUUCAGCGGGGAGGCGUUACCCGCAGAAGAAGCACCGGCUAACUCCGUACCAGCAGCCGCGGUAAUAC
rnacentral:rRNA from 1 species